CUACGGGCUGCACCAGUGAGGAAUAUUGCACAAUGGGGGGAACCCUGAUGCAGCAACGCCGCGUGGAGGAUGACGCAUUUCGGUGUGUAAACUCCUUUUAUAUGUCAAGAAAAUGACGGUAGCAUAUGAAUAAGCGCCGGCUAACUCCGUGCCAGCAGCCGCGGUAAUACGGAGGGCGCAAGCGUUACUCGGAAUCACUGGGCGUAAAGGACGCGUAGACGGGAUUGUAAGUCAGGUGUGAAAUCCUAUGGCUCAACCAUAGAACUGCACUUGAAACUACAAACCUAGAGUAUGGGAGGGGCAGAUGGAAUUAGUGGUGUAGGGGUAAAAUCCGUAGAUAUCACUAGGAAUACCGAAAGCGAAGGCGAUCUGCUGGAACAUUACUGACGCUGAGGCGUGAAAGCGUGGGGAGCAAACAGGAUUAGAUACCCCAGUAGUC
rnacentral:rRNA from 1 species